AUUGAACGCUGGCGGCAGGCCUAACACAUGCAAGUCGAGCGGAGCGGCAGCCGGGGGAGUAAUGCCUAGGUAUCUGCCUGGUAGUGGUGGAUAACGUCCGGAAACGGGCGCUAAUACUGCAUACUCUCAGAUGAGCCUAGGCCGGAUUAGCUAGUUGGUGGGGUAAAGGCCUACAAAGGCGACGAUCCGUAGCUGGUCUGAGAGGAUGAUCAGUCACACUGGAACUGAGACACGGUCCAGACUCCUACGGGAGGCAGCAGUGGGGAAUAUUGGACAAUGGGCGAAAGCCUGAUCCAGCCAUGCCGCGGGUGUGAAGAAGGUCUUCGGAUUGUAAAGCACUUUAAGUUGGGAGGCGUUACCAACAGAAUAAGCACCGGCUAACUUCGUGCCAGCAGCCGCGGUAAUAC
rnacentral:rRNA from 1 species